UUCUCACAUUUUCUUCAGUCCCAGGGGUGAUUUUUCAGCUUUUCAGAUUCACAAACUUAAUUUCACUGGUUUACAAUGUGAGAAGUCUCUAGCCUUGGUGAAUUGAUUCAUGCUAUUUUAAAACACAAGAGACUGCUACGGAAACCACAAUGUUAAGACUUUAAUUUAUAUUUUUAGAAGUACCUAAGGAAGGAAGCAUUAGUGCCUGCUCAUCAAAACCAUCUGCCCUCAGGAGAUAAAAAUCAUAGGUAUCUAUAGUUAUAUUGUUCCUCAAACAAACACUGAACAUGGUUAUUUAACUUGGAGUCCAUUGCUGACGCACACUGACUUUUACAGGAGACUCUGAAUUCAGUGGCAUCACCACUUUGUAUGGAGCCACAACACAAAACUCCCCAUUGAAUAAUUUGACAAUUGCCCAGUUAAAUAGAAACUCAAUGAGAAUAUCAGCCCCUAGUUUAUGGAAUACCUCACCUUAUUCAAUAUUGAUGGCAGUGGUGGCCAUCUGUGAAGACACCGGCUGCUGCAGGGGAGGCACAGCCAAGUAUGUGCCCUCCAUGGAGCAGGUGGGAGCUUGGAACAGGAGGGAGCCCCGUUCCCUUCCGAGUUGGCAGGGUGGGAGACCCACCCUCCCAGGCACAGCUGCAGGCGCCCAGUCGCGGUUGUGGACCCAGGCAUUCCUGUGCUCUCGGGGGCCCAGGAAGCCCCCUGCCCUAGCAAGCUUGGAAGUGCCUGCUCCCUCUGCUUGAUCUCUCUCUGCUCCCAGUGCCUGCUCUGAUUUCAGAGCAAAGUUGAGGCUGAGACCCCACUGUUGCAACCUGCCCAGGUGUGCACAUGCUUGGGAAGGCACUGACAUGGCAGCCCCCUGCCUCCGCAGCCCCCUCCAGAUUUUGGGUGCCAACAGCAUGGGUGGGAGGCCGCGGUGAGGCUGAGAGUGGCUUGGCGCAGGCCUGCAGGCGUCCCUUGGAUCAAACAGCUUGGGCGCUGUGGGCAUGAUUGAUGGUGGCAGGAGGCAGAGAGGCUCCCGGGCAGAAAGGGGUGGGUACCUAGUGAAGCCCCAACUUCAAGCCAGGGACAGCCUGAAGCCUGGGGGCUGGGCUGUCAGUUGGGGUGGAGUCCAUGGCUUGGAGUGAGAACUUAUAGGUGCUUUUUCCAGGCCCGCCCAUGGCCACCCAUGGACCAAUCAACACGCACUUCCUGUCUUCUGAAGUCCAUAAAACUCCAGACUCACCCAAACUCACAGACAUCUGGGCUGCUAGCUGCAUGAAGGAGCUACCCGCUGUGGGUCUCCUCUUUGCUGACAGCUGGACACUUGACAGAAUGACCUGCCUGAACUCGGGACCUGCAGAAUGAUGGGACUGAAGAAGCUGUAACACAAACAGGGCUAAAACACGCACUCUCCUCCCCCUGCUCCCCACCGCCCCACCCACUUGCCACAUUGGAGGUGAUGAGAAGGAGAGAAGAGCUGUGGCCUUUCAGGGAGCAUAGUCCCAGGGGCUCCCUGAGCCAGGGCUGUGAAACCCUCUUCCGGGCACUGCAGUUCCUGGCAUCUCCAAACUUCUGAGUGCCACCGCAUUCCCCGCGUCCGGAUGCAGGUCAAUGCACAGAAAGAAAUCUCUCUCCUGACUUUAGUACAAUGGCACGAUUGGUGGCCACAGUCCAAGGAUGGUUGCUGGGGCACCAAGAGAUUUCUGACAAAGGGCAUUAAAACUGAGAAAGUUUGGGAACCUCUGAAUGCUGUAGGACUUGCAUUUACGUUCUAACUGAGCUUGUUGGACACUGAAAUGGAGGAAGAAUCACAAGCCAUUUUCAAACCUGUAACUUUCUGUAAAAAAUUACAGCAGUGCAGAAGGUCUACUGGAUCUUCAAGGGGUCGAGAAGUGGACAGAGCUCCCAGAGGCUGAGUUGAUAAUGAAUCUCCAAGCCUUUCACUGGGAAAACUGGGCUAACACCUGGUACUUCCUCGGACUAAGUCUCUGGCCCUCUGGAUGCAUGAAAGCUUUGCUACUUGGGGAAUAAUUAAAUGGUUACAAGGGAAAAAACAGAACCAAACGCUUACAGUUUUGCAAAGAUAACCAGCAAGGUGAGAAACUGCCAGCAGAUUUCCCUAAAUAGUGAGGCUGUGGACCUUCUCGUCUUUCACAGAGAUGGCACUAAUAAAAAGCAGACCACACUGAGACAUUGAAUCCGAUGUCAUUCCUAUUCUCUUCCCCGAUUUAAGGAAAUCAAGAUGGAGGCAAGGAUGCAGGAACUGCUGCAUAAAAUGAGAACUACUACACUGGAGAAAAAUAAUUAAAUUUGUUAUUUUCAAGAUAUAGAAUUUGUUAAAUUUGUUAUUUUCAAGAUAGAGGACAUAAUUAAAUGUUUUAUUUUCAAGAUAUAGAAAAAGAGGAACUAAAAUGAGAUUUGAGCAAAAUACUGAAAGAGGAAGAACACUUUCAAGUCUUGGGAUAUGGCCCUCUUUAUUUACUUUAAAGAGUAACACACAGGACAGAACAUCCACACACAUCUGUCUGCAGCUACAAAUUCCAAAUGUCUUGUCUGUUCCAGAGAGCACAACAUUAAAGGCAAUUUUAGUUUUGCCUUUUCUCAAUAUAUAGAUCUCCAUCAAAAUAAUGGUAUUAAAUGGUAUUGUGGUGCAGGCAUGCAGUGAAUGGUGCAAAACAAGGAGAUGGCAGAGACAGCAAGGUAAUUGUCAUUGACUCUGUUCUAGGAGCCUCUGUCAGACAGGUUUCUGAAGGGUGAUGCUUGUACUAUUUCUUCGCAAGGGGAGCAUUACUUUGCAUAGCGGCUGCAAAUUCCUCCCAGUAUCUGUUCAAAUGUGAUCAGAGAGCUAUCCCUGAUCACCCUGUUUAAAAUGUCCUCCCAGAUGAUGAUAACUGUUUUUAAUAAUUUUUUCCCAGUUGCCAUCAAAAGUGUAUUCUAUGUCACUGGUUAUUUUCUUACUUAUUUAGGGGGCUCUUCAUUCUCUGAUGCAACCAUGAAGGUCAAAGAGGUGCUCUCUGCAAAGAUGACUGUGCCUGUGUUCUUCAACUCUUAGGGUAAAGAGUACAACUAUCUGGCGUCUGCUGGGUAAUAGUUGUUUUUAGUCAAGUUAUUUGGUGAUGGGGAGGUCAUGCUUCAUGCCUGAAGAUAUCAAGUCCUUCUUGAAAGAAAAUGGAUAGACCUGGGUUAUAAUCCCAGAAGUACUACUUGCCUACUGGUUUGGAGGAGUUAUUUGAAGUAAUAGAUUUUUACAUUGAUGGCCCCCAGUAUACUGCAUGUUCAUCUGAAGUCCCCUUAAAACCCGGGCAAUUUAACCAUAAGCUAUCUUGACUUUGGCUUACUUUAACUAUGGCCUGUUUCAACUAAUAGAAUACGGUGGAACUUUUGAACUAAAUUUUAAGAUAGCUUGGUAGUGUCUACUUCUGCAUUCUGGAGAAAGACACCUCCCAAGUAAGAAGUUUGCCUAGCGUGAGACUGCCAUCCCAUGAGGAAGCCCAAGUAGCCAUGUGGUGAGGCACCCAUGAAAGAGAACUAAGGAUGUGGUGAUCAAUUCCAGCUGCCAGCCAUAUGAUUGAGACCCUUUUGUACCUUCUGUUUACCCAGUACCCCUUCUGCCACAACAUGAAGCAGAAAAAGUGCUGGAUUGUACAAAGAAAUAAAUUGUGUUGUUUGAAGUUUACACACAAACACACAAAUGCCCUCAACCUAUAUACUCUUGUCAUUAUCUCUAAUUCUUCCUUCUUUCCAUUGCUUCACUGAUUUUAUAUAUAUAUAUAUAUAUAC
rnacentral:lncRNA from 1 species